rnacentral:rRNA from 1 species
AGUGAACGCUGGCGGUAGGCCUAACACAUGCAAGUCGAACGGCAGCACAGUAAGAGCUUGCUCUUACGGGUGGCGAGUGGCGGACGGGUGAGGAAUACAUCGGAAUCUACUUUUUCGUGGGGGAUAACGUAGGGAAACUUACGCUAAUACCGCAUACGACCUACGGGUGAAAGCAGGGGAUCUUCGGACCUUGCGCGAUUGAAUGAGCCGAUGUCGGAUUAGCUAGUUGGCGGGGUAAAGGCCCACCAAGGCGACGAUCCGUAGCUGGUCUGAGAGGAUGAUCAGCCACACUGGAACUGAGACACGGUCCAGACUCCUACGGGAGGCAGCAGUGGGGAAUAUUGGACAAGGGGCGCAAGCCUGAUCCAGCCAUACCGCGUGGGUGAAGAAGGCCUUCGGGUUGUAAAGCCCUUUUGUUGGGAAAGAAAAGCAGCAGGUUAAUACCCCGCUGUUCUGACGGUACCCAAAGAAUAAGCACCGACUAACUUCGUGC